rnacentral:rRNA from 1 species
GAGUUUGAUCCUGGCUCAGAGCGAACGCUGGCGGCAGGUCUAACACAUGCAAGUCGAGCGCCAUAGCAAUAUGGAGCGGCAGACGGGAGAGUAACACGUGGGAACGUACCUUCUGGUUCGGAACAACCCAGGGAAACUUGGGCUAAUACCGGAUAAGCCCGUAAGGGGAAAGAUUUAUCGCCAGAAGAUCGGCCCGCGUCUGAUUAGCUAGUUGGUGAGGUAACGGCUCACCAAGGCGACGAUCAGUAGCUGGUCUGAGAGGAUGAUCAGCCUCACUGGGACUGAGACACGGCCCAGACUCCUACGGGAGGCAGCAGUGGGGAAUAUUGGACAAUGGGCGCAAGCCUGAUCCAGCCAUGCCGCGUGGGUGAUGAAGGCCCUAGGGUUGUAAAGCCCUUUCGAC